GAUGAACGCUGGCAGCGUGCCUAAUGCAUGCAAGUCGGCACGCACGGAGCUUGCUCCGUGAGUGGCGCACGGCUGAGGAUCACGUGGGAACAUGCCUCCUUGUGGGGACACACCGCGAAGCGGUGCUAAUCCGCAUACGCUCUCGUUAAAGAGAGGAAAGCGGUAACGCGCAGGGAGAGUGGCCCGCGGCCCAUCAGGUCGUUGGUGGGGAAUGGCCUACCAAGCCGGUGACGGGUAGCUGGUCUGUGAGGACAGACAGCCAGACUGGGACUGAGACACGGCCCAGACUCCUACGGGAGGCAGCAGCAAGGAAUUUUCGUCAAUGGGCGCAAGCCUGAACGAGCAACGCCGCGUGGAGGAUGACGGCCU
rnacentral:rRNA from 1 species